rnacentral:rRNA from 1 species
GAACGCUGGCGGCGUGCCUAAUACAUGCAAGUCGAACGAGUUCUGAUUAUUGAAAGGUGCUUGCAUCUUGAUUUAAUUUUGAACGAGUGGCGGACGGGUGAGUAACACGUGGGUAACCUGCCCUUAAGUGGGGGAUAACAUUUGGAAACAGAUGCUAAUACCGCAUAAAUCCAAGAACCGCAUGGUUCUUGGCUGAAAGAUGGCGUAAGCUAUCGCUUUUGGAUGGACCCGCGGCGUAUUAGCUAGUUGGUGAGGUAACGGCUCACCAAGGCAAUGAUACGUGGCCAAACUGAGAGGUUGAUCGGCCACAUUGGGACUGAGACACGGCCCAAACUCCUACGGGAGGCAGCAGUAGGGAAUCUUCCACAAUGGACGCAAGUCUGAUGGAGCAACGCCGCGUGAGUGAAGAAGGCUUUCGGGUCGUAAAACUCUGUUGUUGGAGAAGAAUGGUCGGCAGAGUAACUGUUGUCGGCGUGACGGUAUCCAACCAGAAAGCCACGGCUAACUACGUGCCAGCAGCCGCGGUAAUACGUAGGUGGCAAGCGUUAUCCGGAUUUAUUGGGCGUAAAGCGAGCGCAGGCGAUUUUUUAAGUCUGAUGUGAAAGCCCUCGGCUUAACCGAGGAAGUGCAUCGGAAACUGGGAAACUUGAAUGCAAAAUACGACAGUGGAACUCCAUGUGUAGCGGUGAAAUGCGUAGAUAUAUGGAAGAACACCAGUGGCGAAGGCGGCUGUCUGGUCUGUAACUGACGCUGAGGCUCGAAAGCAUGGGUAGCGAACAGGAUUAGAUACCCUGGUAGUCCAUGCCGUAAACGAUGAAUGCUAGGUGUUGGAGGGUUUCCGCCCUUCAGUGCCGCAGCUAACGCAUUAAGCAUUCCGCCUGGGGAGUACGACCGCAAGGUUGAAACUCAAAGGAAUUGACGGGGGCCCGCACAAGCGGUGGAGCAUGUGGUUUAAUUCGAAGCAACGCGAAGAACCUUACCAGGUCUUGACAUCUUUUGAUCACCUGAGAGAUCAGGUUUCCCCUUCGGGGGCAAAAUGACAGGUGGUGCAUGGUUGUCGUCAGCUCGUGUCGUGAGAUGUUGGGUUAAGUCCCGCAACGAGCGCAACCCUUAUGACUAGUUGCCAGCAUUUAGUUGGGCACUCUAGUAAGACUGCCGGUGACAAACCGGAGGAAGGUGGGGAUGACGUCAAAUCAUCAUGCCCUUAUGACCUGGGCUACACACGUGCUACAAUGGAUGGUACAACGAGUUGCGAGACCGCGAGGUCAAGCUAAUCUCUUAAAGCCAUUCUCAGUUCGGACUGUAGGCUGCAACUCGCCUACACGAAGUCGGAAUCGCUAGUAAUCGCGGAUCAGCACGCCGCGGUGAAUACGUUCCCGGGCCUUGUACACACCGCCCGUCACACCAUGAGAGUUUGUAACACCCGAAGCCGGUGGCGUAACCCUUUUAGGGAGCGAGCCGUCUAAGGUGGGACAAAUGAUUAGGGUGAA